rnacentral:rRNA from 1 species
GUCCACGCCCUAAACGAUGUCUACUGGUUGUUGGGGUUUAUUAACCUUGGUAACGAAGCUAACGCGUGAAGUAGACCGCCUGGGGAGUACGGUCGCAAGAUUAAAAACUCAAAGGAAUUGACGGGGACCCGCACAAGCGGUGGAUGAUGUGGAUUAAUUCGAUGCAACGCGAAAAACCUUACCUAGCCUUGACAUGCCAGGAAUCCUGAAGAGAUUCGGGAGUGCUCGCAAGGGAAUCUGGACACAGGUGCUGCAUGGCUGUCGU